rnacentral:rRNA from 1 species
GACGAACGCUGGCGGCGUGCUUAACACAUGCAAGUCGAACGGAAAGGCCCAGCUUGCUGGGUGGAUUAGUGGCGCAAGGGUGAGUAAAACGCGUGAAACAUGCCCCUGAGACUGGGGUAUGCGUUGGAAAAACUGUGGAUAACACGAGAUGGCACGUCCUCGCGCGGGGUGGGGGUUGAAAAAUUUCUUCGGUUGGGGAUGGACUCGCGGCUUAUCAGCUUGUUGGUGGGGUAGUGGCUAACCAAGGCGUCGACGGGUAGCCGGCCUGAGAGGGUGACCGGCCACACUGGGACUGAGACACGGCCCAGACUCCUACGGGAGGCAGCAGUGGGGAAUAUUGCACAAUGGGCGGAAGCCUGAUGCAGCAACGCCGCGUGAGGGAUGACGGCCUUCGGGUUGUAAACCUCUUUUAGCAGUGAAGAAGCGAAAGUGACGGUACCUGCAGAAAAAGCACCGGCUAACUACGUG